CUACGGGUUGCAGCAGUGAGGAAUAUUGCACAAUGGGGGGAACCCUGAUGCAGCAACGCCGCGUGGAGGAUGACGCACUUCGGUGUGUAAACUCCUUUUAUAUGUCAAGAGAAUGACGGUAGCAUAUGAAUAAGCACCGGCUAACUCCGUGCCAGCAGCCGCGGUAAUACGGAGGGUGCAAGCGUUACUCGGAAUCACUGGGCGUAAAGGACGCGUAGGCGGGUUGGAAAGUCAGGUGUGAAAUCCUACAGCUUAACUGUAGAACUGCACUUGAAACUUCUAAUCUAGAGUAUGGGAGGGGGAGAUGGAAUUAGUGGUGUAGGGGUAAAAUCCGUAGAUAUCACUAGGAAUACCUAAAGCGAAGGCGAUCUCCUGGAACAUUACUGACGCUAAGGCGUGAAAGCGUGGGGAGCAAACAGGAUUAGAUACCCUCGUAGUC
rnacentral:rRNA from 1 species